CCUACGGGAGGCAGCAGUGAGGAAUAUUGGUCAAUGGACGAGAGUCUGAACCAGCCAAGUAGCGUGAAGGAUGACUGCCCUAUGGGUUGUAAACUUCUUUUAUAUGGGAAUAAAAUGUUCCACGUGUGGGAUUUUGUAUGUAACAUAUGAAUAAGGAUCGGCUAACUCCGUGCCAGCAGCCGCGGUAAUACGGAGGAUCCGAGCGUUAUCCGGAUUGAUUGGGUUUAAAGGGAGCGUAGGUGGAUGGUUAAGUCAGUUGUGAAAGUUUGCGGCUCAACCGUAAAAUUGCUGUUGAAACUGGCAGUCUUGAGUACAGUAGAGGUGGGCGGAAUUCGUGGUGUAGCGGUGAAAUGCUUAGAUAUCACGAAGAACUCCGAUUGCGAAGGCAGCUCACUGGACUGCAACUGACACUGAGGCUCGAAAGUGUGGGUAUCAAACAGGAUUAGAUACCCCAGUAGUC
rnacentral:rRNA from 1 species